rnacentral:lncRNA from 1 species
UGGUUCGAUCAAGAACGCAGGGGGCGACCAAACAUCCUCCACCAAACCCUAGUUCAUGCAAAUUGUCCAAAUUGAAGGCCAAAUUCUGUUUCAAAACGAAAUCCGAGCACGGAAUAGUGAUCUCCACUGAAAAAGGAGUCAUAAGUUUGACGCUAAACGAGCUAGGUGGAAGCUUGAGGACGAAGCGGGUCAAGCAAAUCAAUAAGGAAAAGUAAGGCAUAGUUUGGAUGCGAAGUAAGUAAAGCUUACAUCCUUUUUGUAUGAUAUACAUUUAUUUAUAAGUUAUAAACACAACAAAAGUCAUAUUCGAAAUACGGUUCCGACACAAAUUUAUAUGGGUCGGAACAUAUCAAAAGAUGAAAACCAUGUUUAAUGGUAAAAAGGGUUGAAACGGUAUUUUGGUCAUGUGAUGAAAUAUAUAAAUUGAGUUUUUGAAUGGCUACUUUAUAAGUAAGCCUAAACGAAGUAAAAAGUGAAAACGACGAUUUAGUCACGUAUAAAUGGAUAAAAGUUGAAGUAUAAAACGACACCAAGUGGCAUAAGCCAUGUUGAGUAAACGUGUAAGAAACUGAUUUAAGGGACACGACUAAAUGGUGAGAAAUCUGAAAUGAAUUACUUAACGAAUUGGUAAAUAAAUACCAUUUUUAUAUAAGCGCAAAAUGUUUGGUCAUUUAGACCAAACGGGUCAAAUGGUACUGUUGAUACCAUUUGAUAUAUAACGAGUAAUAAGAGUUUGUCAAUUCUUAAGCCCACAGGAUAAAACGAUUUGAGAAUUAGCGAUGCGAGGAAUUAGCCAUUUAAUUGAUACAAGGCAUUAGAACGGGUCAAUAUGUUGAUCCGAACCAGGUAUGCAUAUUGUGAGUUAUAGAUAAGUAUACAGUUGAUUGUGCAUAAUAAAGGGGAAAGAUUUAAACUUAAAAGGUUUAAAUCUUCGAAACAGGUCAAAAGAAUUAUGCGCAUAGAUUGGGUACUAGCCGCGUAAUUCAUAAAAGUUACAAACCCGAAGUAAAGAUUUUGAGAUAAACAUGUUGAUGUAUGCUUAAUGGUUAAUUAGAAACAAGUUUGUGGUUUAAAAACUUGAACGGGUCAAAAGUAUUUAAAAAUGAAUUUUAAAGCCAAGCGCUCGAAGCCUAUUAAUUUGUGAAUUCAGAUGUUAAGUUUUGCCCAGUGGCUACCGUAACUUACGGUGGCUACCGUAAGUUACGGUAGAGCCCAGUCACUUUUGCUGAAUUUUGCAUAUCUUAGUUAAUCGAAUCCGAUUUUGAGCAUAGUUUCGAUUACGGCACGCGACGGGUGUAAAACCUGCAAAUCCUUGUUAUUUUAAUUGUAUGGCUCAUGGGACUUGUAUUAACUUGUAAAUAAACUAUCAAAACUAACUUUUAUGUUGGUUUUGAUUCUAGGUGAAUGUUAUAUGCUUCCGGAAGAAGAUCAAGCCACGAGCAAGAACCGAACACACCUCUCAAUGAAGCUUCCGCAUUCGAUCUUGUUUUGUUUUAAUACAAGUGGAUUAUGUAAACACUUUUAACGAUGUUUUUGGAUGUUGUAAACAUGUUUAAAUACUUAUGAUGUAAAAGUUUUUGUUAAGUGGCAUUUUUAAUAUAAAAUGCU